GACGUAGGGCGCGAGCGUUGUCCGGAUUUAUUGGGCGUAAAGAGCUCGUAGGCGGCUCGUUGCGUCGGCUGUGAAAACCCGCAGCUCAACUGUGGGCUUGCAGCUGAUACGGGCGGGCUGGAGUUCGGUAGGGGAGACUGGAAUUCCUGGUGUAGCGGUGAAAUGCGCAGAUAUCGGGAGGAACACCGGUGGCGAAGGCGGUUCUCUGGGCCUUACCUGACGCUGAGGAGCGAAAGCGUGGGGAGCGAACAGG
rnacentral:rRNA from 1 species